rnacentral:lncRNA from 1 species
AAUAAAUAGUUGAAGGUGGUUGGGUGGCCAGGUAGGGGAUGCAGAUGGACUGCAACCUUGGAGGUACAAAUCAUUUUGUCUACUAGUCUCUGGAGAGAGCUAUUUCAAGAGUAGCACCUGGAAUAGAAGGACAACAUAAUUACUGAACACUGUAAAGCUGACAUCCAUUUCUUUAUUAAAAUGCCAAUAAACUCUUCAUGUCACAGAUGAUGACUCCUGUAUAGGGUGCUAUUUUCAGGUCAUUGGCAGACUCGAAUUUUUUGGACCAACAGUUUUCACAAAUGAGUGGUUUAUUUCAAACGUGUUUGUUGAUACUGUUUGAUAUAGUUCAACUAUGUCUGACAUAAGAAUUAAAGAAAAUAUGUGGCUUUUUUGCCAUCACAAGUCUUACAAUGCUUUUUAAUUGGCAGGGUUUUGCACCUCUGUGUGACAACAACAACACUGUGUCUACAUGAAGAUGAUUUACAAAAGGAUCAGAAAAGGAGUGUGGCAAGUUGCAAGGUGAAAGGAAAAAAUAAAGAAAGAUGGAUGAAAUGUGCAGGAACAUGAUACUGCAGCUUGAAGAACUAUGAACUGAGAGCUUAGUCAAC